rnacentral:lncRNA from 1 species
AAGAGGCAUUGGGGAGUUUUUCCAAAUUCACUUUGAUUGAUGAUUGCUUGAGUUUAUGUUUGUGUGAUUGCUUAUUCCAAAGGAUGAGAGCUACUUGGAUCAUCAAUAUGAUCUCAAGAGAGGAACUCCAUUGUGGUUUUGUUUCUUUAUCCCUCACCUUCUUGCUUUACUUAGGCCUUAGCCCUUCUUCUUCUUCCCUCCACUCUAACCCAAGCCAAAACUUUUGUGCAAACAUUUAAC